UGCGUAGGCGGAAUUUUAAGUCAGUGGUGAAAUCCUGCAGCUCAACUGUAGAACUGCCAUUGAUACUGAUCUUCUUGAAUUUAGUUGAGGUGGGCGGAACGUGUAAUGUAGCGGUGAAAUGCUUAGAUAUUACACAGAACACCGAUUGCGAAGGCAGCUCACUAAACUAACAUUGACGCUGAGGCACGAAAGCGUGGGGAGCGAACAGGAUUAGAUACCCUGGUAGUCC
rnacentral:rRNA from 1 species